rnacentral:tRNA from 1 species
GUACCGGUAGCUCAGAGGUAGAGCAGCGGGCCCUUAACCCGAAGGUCGUGGGUUCGACCCCCACCCGGUUCU